UUUUUAAGUUCUUCUGAAAACAGCUUAAAAAUUGGAAUAAUAAGAAAAGAUUAGCAUGGCCCCUGCACAAGGAUGACAAAUUUGUGAAGCAUUCCAUAUUUUA